rnacentral:rRNA from 1 species
GAUGAACGCUGGCGGCGUGCCUAAUACAUGCAAGUCGAGCGAACGGAUGAGAAGCUUGCUUUUCUGACGUUAGCGGCGGACGGGUGAGUAACACGUGGAUAACCUACCUAUAAGACUGGGAUAACUUCGGGAAACCGGAGCUAAUACCGGAUAAUAUUUUGAACCGCAUGGUUCAAAAGUGAAAGACGGUCUUGCUGUCACUUAUAGAUGGACCCGCGCUGCAUUAGCUAGUUGGUAAGGUAACGGCUUACCAAGGCAACGAUGCAUAGCCGACCUGAGAGGGUGAUCGGCCACACUGGAACUGAGACACGGUCCAGACUCCUACGGGAGGCAGCAGUAGGGAAUCUUCCGCAAUGGGCGAAAGCCUGACGGAGCAACGCCGCGUGAGUGAUGAAGGUCUUCGGAUCGUAAAACUCUGUUAUUAGGGAAGAACAUAUGUGUAAGUAACUGUGCACAUCUUGACGGUACCUAAUCAGAAAGCCACGGCUAACUACGUG